UACGUAGGGGGCAAGCGUUGUCCGGAUUUACUGGCGUAAAGAGCGUGUAGGCGGCCACGCAGGUCCGUUGUGAAAACUGGAGGCUCAACCUUCAGACGUCGACGGAAACCGUGUGGCUAGAGUCCGGAAGAGGAGAGUGGAAUUCCUGGUGUAGCGGUGAAAUGCGCAGAUAUCAGGAAGAACACCAAUGGCGAAGGCGCUCUCUGGGACGGUACUGACGCUGAGACGCGAAGCGUGGGGAGCGAACAGGA
rnacentral:rRNA from 1 species